GUGAUUGAGACGCCUCCAUGCUGGUUUCCUUAGACUGGAACAAAGUAACAAUUCAGGACCAGGAUUCUUCAAACGGCAGAGUAAACACGGGAUAAGCUAAUAGCUCGCAGCUGAAGCAGCAUGAAUUCCACCAGACAAAAUGGACUGGCAGUUGGACCUAAGUAAUCUCACUAGCUGUCUUCCUACCAAGCUGGUAUCAUAAAGUUUCUCUGACAUCAGCCCAAUAGUAGCUGGAGGGAGCUGACUUCAAAGAGGAAAGCCAGUGACCAGCAGAGGGAGCGCAAUUGCAUAACAUCUUUGUGACCGAGACUCUUUGAAUGUGGACCAACUUCUGCUGUGUGGGGGAGGGGGCUGGCAUCAGCACACAGUGACAUGGGAGCUGGUUCAUCUUUAUACACCAGAAAGUCAAAGUGGGGAAGCAGUAAGAAAGCUGAGGAUUGUUCCUGUUUAGGAGAUUAGCAAGGUAAUCCUAAACAGAGCUGCACCCUUCUAAACAGAUUGACUUCAACAGACUUAGAAGGAUAUCCCUCUGCUUAGGAGAACGCUGCAGGAUUCAGGGAACAAAUUGGGAUGAGGCCACAGAGCCAAGAAACCAAAAGGAAGGGGCUUUAGCUACGCCUUUCAUGUCCUGCUCCUAUCCUUGAUUGGCCACUGGGGGCCAGAUAAAACAACAUGAUAGGCACAUGGUAAAUGCAGGCCACGGGCUGGCCCACUCUGGUCUAGGAAAAUGAGAAUGCUGAAGGACCUUUCUUUCUGCAGUCUUCCACUUUAGGACUAACAGUAUAUGAUUCCCAAUCAUUCCCAUAGCAGAUUCACAAGGGGCUGUGGUUGGAUAUUUGAGACACGGGGGAGAAAAAUAAUUCUAAACAUCCCCCAUUGUUCUUGGCAGCUUACAAUACAUUUUUUAAAACACCCAAAUUCCCCUGUAGUGAAAUGGAAUUGUUUAGGAAAGGGACAAGGGUGAUAAUUUGGGGCACCAUUUACUGCCCGUAUUUCUUGUUUUCUAAUUUCUGUAUGCCAAUGUUUGCAUUUUCUAUUUCAUGCCCUACACGGCUUUUAUUUCAAUGUUUUCUGACUUUGUAAGUACAGCCUCAGUACAGCUUUUAUUAUUUGGCUUAUACUGUUUCUACGGCCUUGUGAAAGUUUGUAGCCUGCCUUGAGUCUCGGUGAGAAAGGCAGACCAUAAAGUGAGCAAUUUUUUAAAAAGACUUAAUAAAAUGCCUG